GGGAUAACAUUUGGAAACAAGUGCUAAUACCGUAUAAUACCAACAACCGCAUGGUUGUUGGUUGAAAGAUGGUUCUGCUAUCACUAAGAGAUGGACCCGCGGUGCAUUAGCUAGUUGGUAAGGUAACGGCUUACCAAGGCAAUGAUGCAUAGCCGAGUUGAGAGACUGAUCGGCCACAAUGGGACUGAGACACGGCCCAUACUCCUACGGGAGGCAGCAGUAGGGAAUCUUCCACAAUGGGCGCAAGCCUGAUGGAGCAACGCCGCGUGUGUGAUGAAGGGUUUCGGCUCGUAAAACACUGUUAUAAGAGAAGAACGGCACUGAGAGUAACUGUUCAGUGUGUGACGGUAUCUUACCAGAAAGGAACGGCUAAAUACGUGCCAGCAGCCGCGGUAAUACGUAUGUUCCAAGCGUUAUCCGGAUUUAUUGGGCGUAAAGCGAGCGCAGACGGUUAUUUAAGUCUGAAGUGAAAGCCCUCAGCUCAACUGAGGAAUGGCUUUGGAAACUGGAUGACUUGAGUGCAGUAGAGGAAAGUGGAACUCCAUGUGUAGCGGUGAAAUGCGUAGAUAUAUGGAAGAACACCAGUGGCGAAGGCGGCUUUCUGGACUGUAACUGACGUU
rnacentral:rRNA from 1 species